rnacentral:rRNA from 1 species
UACGGAGGGAGCUAGCGUUGUUCGGAAUUACUGGGCGUAAAGCGCACGUAGGCGGCUAUUCAAGUCGGGGGUGAAAGCCCGGGGCUCAACCCCGGAACUGCCCUCGAAACUAGGUAGCUAGAAUCUUGGAGAGGCGAGUGGAGUUCCGAGUGUAGAGGUGAAAUUCGUAGAUAUUCGGAAGAACACCAGUGGCGAAGGCGACUCGCUGGACAAGUAUUGACGCUGAGGUGCGAAAGCGUGGGGAGCAAACAGG